rnacentral:rRNA from 1 species
AUACAUAUGUCUCAAGCGUUACCCGGAAUCACUGGGUGUAAAGGGUUCGUAGGCGGUUUAAGAAGUUGAAUAUGAAAGACCGAGGCUCAACCUCGUGUUUGUCUUCAAAACUGUUAAACUAGAAUCAGGGAGAGGUAAGCGGAAUUCUGUGUGUAGGGGUGCAAUCCGUAGAUACACAGAGGAACACCAAAAGCGAAGGCAGCUUACUGGAACUGUAUUGACGUUCAUGAACGAAAGCGUGGGUAGCGAAAAGGAGUAGAAACCCUUGUAGUCC